AGGUCAGAGGGGAUAUUGUAUGUAACUGGUGACAUUUGAAAGAGACAUAUUGGACAGAAAUGACAUACGUGAAAGCUAAGAUACAAUAUAUUUAAUUUUCUAAGAAUUCAGUUCAAGGUAGUCUGCCUGGUUUCUCAAGUUCUGCAUGUUUCUUCAGUAGACUAAAUAAUGAUAAGGAAGCUGAGAUGUAGAGCUGAAGUGUCUUGCCCAAGAUCAUUUGUCUAGUUCUUCCUUAUGCCAGUCCACCAAGAAUACCUGCUUAAAGGCCAGCUGCAGCUCCUGUUCCACUUCCUUUCUUGUACUGCUGAACAUCCAGAUAGAGGCAUUGACAUGCAUGGUUUCCAACUGAUCACUUCCUACUCCCUUAAGGACCUCCUGUCAGGCAGUUUUGCUAAUUUCUUUAAUAUCAGAAGACAGCUGGAUUCUCAUUUCUGCUUCUGCAUUCAGUCUAUUGUGAUAUAGCAUAUCAUGUAACUUCUGAAAAACUUCACUGUACACAGAUGCUGACCUCACAGACUCCCUGAAAGGAUCUCCAUGACCUCUAUGGUUCCUUAGACUGCACUUUGAGAACUAUUGACGUACAGGGAAAAAUGCUCUUGGUGUUCCAGUUAAGCACAGAAUAAAAUCUGGACUGUGUCAGUUUGUAAAGAUCUUAUGUCUACUUGGUCAUCAGCCAAGAAGGGAUUCCGAAGAUAGAAGAGGAGGCAUCAACACCGUGAACAUCAUGGCUGAGUUAUUUUGUGAGAGGGAUAAGCCUAAAGUAAAAACCUUGGAUUUGCCUCUGUCCUUGAACAUGCUAUCUGGAAAGAGUUUUCUUAAAAGUAUUGUUGUGAACACAUCCAUUUUCCCAGUAUAGUUGAAUGCAGGGUUUAAUAAAUGGAAUGAAUCUA
rnacentral:lncRNA from 1 species